AUACCCCAGCUCCCAUCCAGGACCCUCCAGAGAAAGUGCUGAAGGACAGAGCUCGAAUCCACAUUGGGGAGCUGACACGAUGGGGAACCCACACUGGACGGAAACCACCAAAGGGCCUUUUGAACCAGUUUUUAUUUUUUUCCUCCCUACCUUGAAGCAAGAACGUGUUAAAUAACCCCACCUGGGGGACAGGGGUGCCCACUUCCAGCCUCCAGAUGGAAAGCGCCGUGGUGCUCUCAUCCCAAGCACUUGUCUCUGUGUCCCCAUUUCCCUGGCCAUAAAGGACUGAUGGAUGCUCCAACCCAACAGAGCUUUAUGAACAGGGACUGAAAGGGCCAAGAGCUGUAAAUACGCUCGGAAAAAAGGAUUCCCUAUUGAUGCCGCAGGCCUCUUCCCACAAGGUCCCUGCCAAGACAAGCAGUUGUUUGAGCAAUAGGAGGGAAACCAGCCCCGCUGCGAUCGCCGUGCUGUGCCUUUGCCCCAGACUGCUGCGCCCGGAGCCCUCUGCCUGCGGCGGUGCCAUCUGGAGCCAGCGAAAUCAUCCCUGGGGAGCAGUCGGGGGACACGGAGGGGUCCUCUCUGCCACAUGCGCCCUUGGUGUCCCCAGGCAGCCUCAGGACCUGGCUCCCCAGCACCCAGCUCGGCGGGGUAGGGCACAGCCCUCACUGUGGGGUGGAGGAAACCACAAGAAAUCCUCUCUUCAUCCAGCACAGCCACCGGGGACGAUGCCUCGGUGCUACAGCUCUGCUCCAGCCUUACCGCCCCAGAUUUCCAGCCCUCACAACACUGAUAAAAGACCUUCAGCAAAGCAGAGGAUAUCAUAA
rnacentral:lncRNA from 1 species